ACGCUCGACACCUACGGGAGGCGCAGUCGGGAAUAUUGCGCAAUGGAGGAAACUCUGACGCAGUGACGCCGCGUGCAGGAAGAAGGUUUUCGGAUUGUAAACUGCUUUAGACAGGGAAGAAAGAAAUGACAGUACCUGUAGAAUAAGCUCCGGCUAACUACGUGCCAGCAGUCGCGGUAAUCUGAGCGGGCUGGCAAGGC
rnacentral:rRNA from 1 species